rnacentral:rRNA from 1 species
AUUGAACGCUGGCGGAAUGCUUUACACAUGCAAGUCGAACGGCAGCACGGGUGCUUGCACCUGGUGGCGAGUGGCGAACGGGUGAGUAAUGCGUCGGAACGUGCCGAGUAAUGGGGGGAUAACGCAGCGAAAGUUGUGCUAAUACCGCAUACGCCCUGAGGGGGAAAGUGGGGGAUCGCAAGACCUCACGUUAUUCGAGCGGCCGACGUCUGAUUAGCUAGUUGGUGGGGUAAAGGCCUACCAAGGCGACGAUCAGUAGGCGGGUCUGAGAGGAUGAUCCGCCACACGUGGGACUGAGACGACCGGCCCAGACUCCGUACGGGAGGCAGCAGGUGGGGUAAGUUUUGGACAA